UCCGACGUAGCUCAGUGGUAGAGCAACCGGCUGUUAACCGGUUGGUCGCUGGUUCGAGUCCAGCCGUCGGAGCCA
rnacentral:tRNA from 1 species